rnacentral:rRNA from 1 species
AUGUCCAUUCAAUCCAAGAUCACAGAAGGAUACCUUCUAUUUCCUAUGUCUAAAACAGCUGACACUGACACUGUGGUUCACCCUGAAAUACAACAAGUGUUGGAAGAAUUUCAGGAUGUAUUUGAGACACCUACAAGGUUGCCACCAGAGAGGGAAUUUGACCAUGCAAUCCCCCUAAAGCAAGGUUCUGAACCCCCUAAUCUUAGACCCUACAGAGUGCCCCACCAGCAAAAAGAAGAGAUGGAGCAGCAAAUUAAGAAAUUGCUGGAGGCUUCCAUAAUCCGACCUAGUGAUAGCCCGUAUGCAGCGCCAGCACUGCUUGUUAAAAAGAAAGAUGGCACCUGGAGGUUAUGCACUGAUUUUAGAAAAUUAAAUGACCAGACCACCAAGAAUAAAUUUCCAAUACCCAUUAUUGAAGACUUGCUAGAUGAGCUGCAUGGGGCCAGUUUUUUCACAAAGUUGGAUCUGAGAUCUGGAUAUUACCAAAUAAGGAUGAGGAAUGAAGAUAUCCAUAAAACUGCUUUCACUACUUACCUGGGCCAUUUUGAGUACUUGGUUAUGCCUUUUGGCUUAACAAAUGCACCAGCAACCUUUCAGGCACUCAUGAAUUUCAUUUUCAAAAGGCACAUCAGGAAAUUUAUCUUGGUAUUCUUUGAUGAUAUAUUAGUCUACAGCAAAACUCUCAAAGAGCAUAUCCAACACCUCAGAGAAACACUUCAAAUUCUCAGAGAGCAGCAACUUUAUGCUAAGAUGAGCAAGUGUGUAUUUGCUGCCCCCCAGGUGGAAUACUUGGGCCAUAUAAUAUCUUCAGAAGGAGUUGCCACAGACCCAAAUAAAAUUCUCACUGUCAAGACCUGGCCCUUGCCAAAAACCAUCACACAGCUGAGGAGUUUUUUGGGAAUGGUGGUUAUUACAGAAGGUUUGUGCCCAACUUUGGUCUCAUAUGUAGGCCAUUACAUGAUAUGCUAA